CACGUAAGGUGCGAGCGUUGUUCGGAAUCAUUGGGCGUAAAGGGCGCGUAGGCGGCCGGGCAAGCGGGGUGUGAAAGGCGGGGGCCCAACCCCCGGACUGCGCCCCGAACUGCGCCGGCUCGAGUCGCCGUGGCGCCGGGGGAAUUCCAGGUGUAGGGGUGAAAUCUGUAGAUAUCUGGAAGAACACCGGUGGCGAAGGCGUCCGGCGAGCGGACGACUGACGCUGAGGCGCGAAGGUGCGGGGA
rnacentral:rRNA from 1 species